rnacentral:rRNA from 1 species
UGCUGGAGGUAUCAGAAGUGCGAAUGCUGACAUAAGUAACGAUAAAGCGGGUGAAAAGCCCGCUCGCCGGAAGACCAAGGGUUCCUGUCCAACGUUAAUCGGGGCAGGGUGAGUCGACCCCUAAGGCGAGGCCGAAAGGCGUAGUCGAUGGGAAACGGGUUAAUAUUCCCGUACUUGGUGUUACUGCGAAGGGGGGACGGAGAAGGCUAUGUUGGCCGGGCGACGGUUGUCCCGGUUUAAGCGUGUAGGUGUGUGUUCCAGGUAAAUCCGGUUCACUUUAACACUGAGGCGUGAUGACGAGGCACUACGGUGCUGAAGCAACAAAUGCCCUGCUUCCAGGAAAAGCCUCUAAGCAUCAGGUAACAUCAAAUCGUACCCCAAACCGACACAGGUGGUCAGGUAGAGAAUACCAAGGCGCUUGAGAGAACUCGGGUGAAGGAACUAGGCAAAAUGGUGCCGUAACUUCGGGAGAAGGCACGCUGACACGUAGGUGAAGUGAUUUACUCACGGAGCUGAAGUCAGUCGAAGAUACCAGCUGGCUGCAACUGUUUAUUAAAAACACAGCACUGUGCAAACACGAAAGUGGACGUAUACGGUGUGACGCCUGCCCGGUGCCGGAAGGUUAAUUGAUGGGGUCAGCGCAAGCGAAGCUCCUGAUCGAAGCCCCGGUAAACGGCGGCCGUAACUAUAACGGUCCUAAGGUAGCGAAAUUCCUUGUCGGGUAAGUUCCGACCUGCACGAAUGGCGUAAUGAUGGCCAGGCUGUCUCCACCCGAGACUCAGUGAAAUUGAACUCGCUGUGAAGAUGCAGUGUACCCGCGGCAAGACGGAAAGACCCCGUGAACCUUUACUAUAGCUUGACACUGAACAUUGAGCCUUGAUGUGUAGGAUAGGUGGGAGGCUUUGAAGCGUGGACGCCAGUCUGCGUGGAGCCGACCUUGAAAUACCACCCUUUAAUGUUUGAUGUUCUAACGUGGACCCGUAAUCCGGGUUGCGGACAGUGUCUGGUGGGUAGUUUGACUGGGGCGGUCUCCUCCUAAAGAGUAACGGAGGAGCACGAAGGUUGGCUAAUCCUGGUCGGACAUCAGGAGGUUAGUGCAAUGGCAUAAGCCAGCUUGACUGCGAGCGUGACGGCGCGAGCAGGUGCGAAAGCAGGUCAUAGUGAUCCGGUGGUUCUGAAUGGAAGGGCCAUCGCUCAACGGAUAAAAGGUACUCCGGGGAUAACAGGCUGAUACCGCCCAAGAGUUCAUAUCGACGGCGGUGUUUGGCACCUCGAUGUCGGCUCAUCACAUCCUGGGGCUGAAGUAGGUCCCAAGGGUAUGGCUGUUCGCCAUUUAAAGUGGUACGCGAGCUGGGUUUAGAACGUCGUGAGACAGUUCGGUCCCUAUCUGCCGUGGGCGCUGGAGAACUGAGGGGGGCUGCUCCUAGUACGAGAGGACCGGAGUGGACGCAUCACUGGUGUUCGGGUUGUCAUGCCAAUGGCACUGCCCGGUAGCUAAAUGCGGAAGAGAUAAGUGCUGAAAGCAUCUAAGCACGAAACUUGCCCCGAGAUGAGUUCUCCCUGAGACUUUAGGUCUCCUGAAGGAACGUUGAAGACGACGACGUUGAUAGGCCGGGUGUGUAAGCGCAGCGAUGCGUUGAGCUAACCGGUACUAAUGAACCGUGAGGCUUAACCUU